rnacentral:rRNA from 1 species
AGUGAACGCUGGCGGUAGGCCUAACACAUGCAAGUCGAACGGCAGCACAGUAAGAGCUUGCUCUUACGGGUGGCGAGUGGCGGACGGGUGAGGAAUACAUCGGAAUCUACUUUUUCGUGGGGGAUAACGUAGGGAAACUUACGCUAAUACCGCAUACGACCUACGGGUGAAAGCAGGGGAUCUUCGGACCUUGCGCGAUUGAAUGAGCCGAUUUCGGAUUAGCUAGUUGGUGGGGUAAAGGCCCACCAAGGCGACGAUCCGUAGCUGGUCUGAGAGGAUGAUCAGCCACACUGGAACUGAGACACGGUCCAGACUCCUACGGGAGGCAGCAGUGGGGAAUAUUGGACAAUGGGCGCAAGCCUGAUCCAGCAAUACCGCGUGGGUGAAGAAGGCCUUCGGGUUGUAAAGCCCUUUUGUUGGGAAAGAAAAGCAGCAGGUUAAUACCCCGCUGUUCUGACGGUACCCAAAGAAUAAGCACCGGCUAACUUCGUG